CAACUUUUAGCAACUGAUCUCUUGGCUCUCGCAUCGAUGAAGAACGC
rnacentral:rRNA from 1 species